UGUGUGUCUGUGUGUUUAACAGUCCGUGAAAGCCAAAGAGCAAGCACUGUUUCAGGAAAGUGGAAGACAACAGCUCUGGGGAGGCUGGUGGAGAAAAAGGAGAAGAAGAAGCAGAAGAAGAAAAAGAGAAAAAAGAGUAGAGAGAAAAAAAGAGGGCAAAUAGAGACGGGACCAGAGAGAGCGAGGGUGAGAGGGUAGGUAGUGAGAUUGGGUCAGAGAGAGAGACUGACAGCAGAGCAUACAUUUCCCAGAGGACACAGCCCGAGAACGAGAGAGACUGCUGAGAAGUUCAGUCUGACAAAAUGCCGAGGAGGAGAAGCGUGUCAUUUGGUGGAUUUGGAUGGAUCGACAAAUCCACCUUGUCUGCACUAAGAGCCCGGAAACAGGAACUGUUAAACAUCUCCAACGUCCCUCUGGGAGAAUGUCCCCCCUCACCACCUCGCACUGCACCGCCCA